rnacentral:rRNA from 1 species
UACGUAGGGGGCGAGCGUUGUCCGGAGUUACUGGGCGUAAAGGGCAUGCAGGCGGUCGGACGCGUUUCGGGUGACAGCGGGUGGCUUAACUACCCGAGUGGUCGAAAGACGGUUUGACUUGAGGACGCGAGAGGGACACGGAAUUCCGGGUGGAGUGGUGAAAUGCGUAGAGAUCCGGAGGAACACCGAAGGCGAAGGCAGUGUCCUGGCGAGUGACUGACGCUGAGGUGCGAAAGCCAGGGGAGCGAACGGG